CCCUCCCCCCUCCACGCCCCCGGGCCGAGUCAGGCUCCCGCCCCGCGUGUCUUCCGAACGGCACCGCGCUCGUCUCCGGCCAAAGGCAAGGCAGCCCAGCCCAGAAAAUUGGCUAAGUGAAGUCACCAGGUGAUGGCAUCCUACGGUGCGCCUUGGGCAAAAACAGCAGCUCGGCAGCGCGUCCGGGGCCAAAAUCAGCAGCUCGGCCACGUGGUCCGUGAAGUCCCCGGAAAGCCGGCUUUCCUACGCGUGACCGAUAUGCGCCCGGGGCAGUUCGCCCCGGCGGCAGGGCUGAAAACCAGCCGUUCGCCCAGGCGUCGCAGCGGCUCGGCAUGGCGUCCGUGGACAGGCCAAGUCCCCCGGGCCGACGGCGCCCGGUGGGCGGAAACAGCGGUUCGCCCUGGCGCCAGGGCUGAAAACCAGCCGUUCGGCAAGGCGGUCCGUGGAAGACAGGCCAAGUCCCCGGGCCGACGGCGCCCGCGGGGCGCAAACAGCUGUUCGCCCUGGCGCCAGGGCCGAAAACCAGCAGUUCGCCCAGGCGUCCACGCUGAGACGCAGCGGUUCGGCAGGGCGGUCCGCGGACUGGCCAAGUCCCCGGGCCGACGGCGCCCGCGGGGCAGAAACAGCGGUUCGCCCUGGCGCCAGGGCUGAAAACCAGCAGUUCGCCCAAGCGCCGGAGCUGAGACGCAGCGGUUCGGCAGGUCGGUCCGCGGAGAGCCGUGCUCGGGCUACGGGGCGUGCACACGACUUAGGUGCCACCGCACCGUACACCACUGGGGCUGAGCAUGCACCUACGGACCUGCGGCAAAGUGUGCGUGGUCGGAUCGACUUGCGGCAAAGUGUGCGUGGUUUGGAUGGAUGGGUGGGCGGAUGGCUGGAUGGAUUGGCGGGUGGAUGGCAAGGAACGCACCACGCAUGACGGAUAUGCCUCACGAGGUCAUGGGAGAAGGAGCAGCCCAAGUCCCUGGGAAAGCCGGCCUUCAUACGCGCAUCGAGGUGCACGCGGCGCAAAAACUGCAGUUCGGCAUGGUGUCUAGGUGAAGGGCACGGCGAAAACGAGCCAAAAAGGGCGAAAAACGACCCAAAAACGGGCCAAAACGGGCCACAGACGGCCCGCGGGUCCCGGGCCCACCGAGGUGGCCCACGGGGCCCAAGGGACCCACCCAUGGUGGCCCCACCCAAAAAGUCCAUGGUUCGGUCCAUCCACGGAAAACGACUGUCGGGCGCCUCCGGGGCGGAAACCAGCGUUUCUGAGCAAAAACUAGCCAAAACUUCACAUCACAUGGAUUUCCUGAGGUCCUCCAAAACGUCUGAAGGAACCAUACAGAAAACUGCCAGAACUCCUGGGGGGGCUGGAUGCCCCUCGGGUAUAUUAGGGGAAGAGGGUUCGGUUGGAGGAGACCUCGGGUGAACUGGCUGAAAACCACAAGGUUUUUGAAGCCAUGUUUUCGUGAGGGCUCCUCCAUAAAGUCGGUCACGUAUCCCCCGGCCUCCAUGGCUGGCCGACGACCGGCCGUGGCUAGCUUCGGCUAGCUGCAGCUGGUUGUUGGCUGGCCAUGGCGGCUGGCAUGCGGCCUUCGGUGGCUGCAUGCUAGUGACCGCACUGGGAGAAGUUUCGGCGUCGCCUGACCUCCGUGGCUGGCUUGUAGCCUACGGCGGCCUGCUUCGGCGGGCUGCUAUGGGCUGUGGGCUGGCUUGGUGGCCAGCGUGUUGUCGGAACGACUCCCGGCCUCCCUGGCUGGCCGGCUGCCUACGGCGGCCUGCUUGGGUGGGCUGCUGCGGGCGACUGGCUUGCUGGGUUGGCUAUCGUGUUGUUGGAACGGUUUCGGUGACUUGCGGCCUCCUUGGCCGGUCGGCAGCUUGCGGUGGCCUGCUUCGGCGGGCUGCUUUGGGUAGCUGGCUGGCUAGGGUGGCUAGCUUGUUGUUGGAACUGUUUUGAUGAUGCGCCGCCUUCUUGGCUGGCUGGAAGCCUGCGGCGGCCUGCUUUGGCGGGAUGCUGUGGGUAGCUGGCUGGCUGGGGUGGCCAACGUGUUGUUGGGAUUGUUUCGGUGACUCGCGGCCUCCUUGGAUGGCCGGCAGCCUUCGGUGGCCUGCUUCUGCGGGCUGCUGUGGGCGGCUGGCUCCCAUGGGAGGAAGCUUGUUGCUGGAACGGUUUCGGCUGCACGGUUUUGGCCCGCUGUUGGAUAAGUUUCGGUUUCUCGUGUUGUUGGGAUUGUUUCGGUGACUCGCGGCCUCCCUGGAUGGCCGGCAGCCUUCGGUGGCCUGCUUCUGCGGGCUGCUGUGGGCAGCUGGCUCCCGUGGGAGGAAGCUUGCUGCUGGAACGGUUUCAGCUGCACGGUUUUGGCCCGCUGUUGGAUAAGUUUCGGUUUCUCUCGCGCUCUGUGGACCCUCGGUUGCCGUCCUCGCAAGCAGACUCACCGUGCCUAGCGCGGAGGGAUGCUUUGGAUGGCUUAACCGUCGUGGCUACGCUGGCGCAUGAGUUGUUUUGGACCUGUGACUGCUUGGAGGACCCCCGCCGGUGUGCGGCUGACUCCUAGCACCAGCGUCCUGUCAUUCGUGCGGGCACCUUUUGCCUGCUGCUUUGACGAGUGCUUGCGUGCUGCUACCUGUCCCACGGGAAGUUGCGUUCGGUUACAUGUUGCCUUCGUUGAGCGCACCCUCUGGGUGUGGCUCGUCGGCUCUAGAGCACCUGCGGCGUUGCCUCGUGAUGUCGUCCUCCCAGGGUGGCACCGCCAAGGACACCUCGCUUGUGCUUUUGGUUGCGGAUGCGGCUGAUGCCGAAGGCCGGAGGGCGUUGGCCUCCCGUGCCUAAAAACCGAGUCCGUUUGGAAACAACGACAGCCAGCCCGGCCGAUGCCUCGUGCGGAGGUCGGCGCCGGCUCGUCGGCGAGGACGUGC
rnacentral:misc_RNA from 1 species